GAAAAAGAAAUUUUCAUUCUCUAAUUCGCUGCUGCUACGCCUUUGUCAAAACGUGGUUCCUUCUUCCAACGAAAACAGAGUGAGAAGAAAAUGAUAGAAGAUUAGGUAGUAGUUAAUUAACCCAAAACGGCGCUGCAAUUCGGGAAGGACGAUGGAAGCUCAAUCAGAGAACAGAGCAGUUACUCGUGCCCGGGGGCGGCGUAAACAGAGUGAGAAGAAGAAACCCCACCCAAAACGGCCCUACCUUGGGAGGGAAAAGGAGUUGGAAGUUCAAGCGAUCGCUCCAUCAAAGAAUGGAGAACUGACUAUUGGAGAUAUUGCUCGUGCCCGGGGGCGGGAAGUUUUUCCGCUUCAUUUCCUUGUAGAAUGUGCCACCGGAUAUGCUCUUUUUCUUGCCCGUGGCAUUAAUGAUAUUGAUAUGAUUAAGUAUCAAGCAGAGGAGUACAUUAACCGUUCCGACACCCCUUUUGAGCUCAAAGCUUAUCUACCCUUUUCAUCUCUUGGUGAAGCUCUCCUUCAAAUGAAUGCUAUAUCCAACACAAGUGUGACUGAGAUGCUAAUAAAGUUCAUCCAGAAGAAUUUUGAACCACCAUUCCAUCGCCAUGUACUUACAACUGCCGAUCCAUUUCUGGGAGUAAAAAUAGUAAAUAAUGUGGGUCUGAGUGACCAUACUUCUUUGCUGACCUUAAGUGUCAUGCGUGGUUUGCGGGAGAAAAUUGACAAACUCAUCGGGUUGCAGCCUGGAGAGUUGGACAAGGCCCAACGCCAACUGGCGCACCUUUACAAAGACCAAAAGCGCACUAUAUUGGACACCAAAAGUCCCGUCCCGGUUUCGUCAUCUUCUUUUCUACAAGAACAAGUCAUGGUUGUGCCACAUAGAUUCGAAGGAUUUUUCAACGCCAAGGGCAAAAAGAAUAUAUUGUGCACAAGAAAUCUAGUACCCGGGGAAGCUCUUUAUGGUGAAAAAUUAAUACAUGUUCAGAAUGAAGACGGAACUGAAGUCGAGUACAGAGUAUGCGAUCCGCGUAGAUCCAAGUUGGGUGCUGCAAUCCUGGGUGGUGUCACCAAUAUAUGGAUUAAACCCGGCUCUCGUGUUAUGUAUGUGGGAAAAGUAUGCGGAGUUACGGUUUCUGAUUUGUCAGAUAUUGUUGGCUUGCAGGAUGGUUUAGUUUAUGUUGUGGGCAACUCUGAUGAUGUUACACAUAUGGAGGGCAAGAGGCCAAAUGUUGUGACAAUCAUUGAGAACGAUUAUCAUUAUUGUCAUUACCGCAUGGUUCUCGGGAUGGUAGAUGCAGUCUUUGGGGAGAUUGAUCAUCCCCUUGGUGAAAUUUAUCGUCUUCCUACUAAGGUUGUUAGGGAUGGGCGUUUUAUAGUGAAUAAUGUUCAUUUUUAUCUUAAAACUGGUGGGCAUUACAUGAUCUGCACAAAGGCAGACAAUAUGAAUUCAAAAGGUCAUAUUAUUUUUUCCUCCGGCGAUAUAAACAGAGAAUUCAAGCUACUACAGACAGUCCCUCUUGAUUUAGUAGAGGGGGCAUAUUUCAUUGACAUUGGUGGUUACAGGAUGCAGCCUGAAUAGCUGUAUUUUUACUGUUUGGUUGUCUCUUUUUAUGAUCAACCUUUUUGUUGUAUCGAUUAGGUGGUUUUGCAGGCAAAGCAUGUAUUAAAAGAUGCUAAGAUAUUUGUUUGUUUUGCACAUCUUAUGCAAGUUGAAGAACUUUCUUUUAUGACUCAAAAAUCGGAACCAAUUCAAUUUACAAUUCAACCAUCCACAUUUGAGUUGUAUAGUUAUUCCAUUCACAAAGCUAGGUGGCAGCAUUAAAUUUGCACCAAUUGGGUUGACUAACAUGUUCAACAGUGGUGGAACAAUUCUUGAUUUGGAAUAUGUUGAAAGUGGUGCUAAGAUUAAGGUUAAAGGUGGUGGAAAUUUUCUUGCUUAUUCAAGUGAAUCACCAAAAAAGUUUCAAUUGAAUGGUUCUGAUGUGGAUUGUGAGUGGCUAAGUGAUGGAAAAUUGUCUCUCAAUGUUCCUUGGAUUGAAUCGGCUUGUGGGGUUUCUGAUUUGUCAAUUUUGUUCUAGAAUAUUAGUAUUAAUAUGCUUGUGGUUUUUUAAUACAUUGGAAAUUAUGAGUUUGCAUUUCAACUCUUACAUUUAUAAUAAAAUAUUCCUAUUAAUUGAGCUA